rnacentral:rRNA from 1 species
AGUGAACGCUGGCGGUAGGCCUAACACAUGCAAGUCGAACGGCAGCACAGUAAGAGCUUGCUCUUACGGGUGGCGAGUGGCGGGCGGGUGAGGAAUACAUCGGAAUCUACUUUUUCGUGGGGGAUAACGUAGGGAAACUUACGCUAAUACCGCAUACGACCUACGGGUGAAAGCAGGGGAUCUUCGGACCUUGCGCGAUUGAAUGAGCCGAUGUCGGAUUAGCUAGUUGGCGGGGUAAAGGCCCACCAAGGCGACGAUCCGUAGCUGGUCUGAGAGGAUGAUCAGCCACACUGGAACUGAGACACGGUCCAGACUCCUACGGGAGGCAGCAGCGGGGAAUAUUGGACAAUGGGCGCAAGCCUGAUCCAGCCAUACCGCGUGGGUGAAGAAGGCCUUCGGGUUGUAAAGCCCUUUUGUUGGGAAAGAAAAGCAGCAGGUUAAUACCCCGCUGUUCUGACGGUACCCAAAGAAUAAGCACCGGCUAACUUCGUG